ACGUAGGUGGCAAGCGUUGUCCGGAUUUACUGGGCGUAAAGGGCGUGCAGGCGGUUUGUUAAGUCUAGGGUGAAAGCUCCCGGCUCAACUGGGAGAGGUCCUUGGAUACUGGCGAACUUGAGGGAUGCAGAGGAAAGUGGAAUUCCCGGUGUAGUGGUGAUAUGCGUAGAUAUCGGGAGGAACACCAGUGGCGAAGGCGGCUUUCUGGGCAUUUCCUGACGCUGAGGCGCGAAAGCGUGGGGAGCAAACGGGA
rnacentral:rRNA from 1 species